GACGAACGCUGGCGGCGUGCUUAACACAUGCAAGUCGAACGCUGAAGCUUGGUGCUUGCACUGGGUGGAUGAGUGGCGAACGGGUGAGUAAUACGUGAGUAACCUGCCCUUGACUCUGGGAUAAGCCUGGGAAACUGGGUCUAAUACUGGAUACGACAUGUCACCGCAUGGUGGUGUGUGGAAAGGGUUUUACUGGUUUUGGAUGGGCUCACGGCCUAUCAGCUUGUUGGUGGGGUAAUGGCUCACCAAGGCGACGACGGGUAGCCGGCCUGAGAGGGUGACCGGCCACACUGGGACUGAGACACGGCCCAGACGCCUACGGGAGGCAGCAGUGAGGAAUAUUGCACAAUGGGCGGAAGCCUGAUGCAGCGACGCCGCGUGAGGGAUGACGGCCUUCGGGUUGUAAACCUCUUUCAGCACGGAAGAAGCGAAAGUGACGGUACGUGCAGAAGAAGCGCCGGCUAACUACGUG
rnacentral:rRNA from 1 species